rnacentral:rRNA from 1 species
UUGGUGAGGUAACGGCUCACCAAGGCAACGAUGCGUAGCCGACCUGAGAGGGUGAUCGGCCACACUGGGACUGAGACACGGCCCAGACUCCUACGGGAGGCAGCAGUAGGGAAUCUUCCGCAAUGGACGAAAGUCUGACGGAGCAACGCCGCGUGAGUGAUGAAGGCUUUCGGGUCGUAAAACUCUGUUGUUAGGGAAGAACAAGUGCUAGUUGAAUAAGCUGGCACCUUGACGGUACCUAACCAGAAAGCCACGGCUAACUACGUGCCAACAGCCGCGGUAAUACCUAGGUGGCAAGCGUUAUCCCGAAUUAUUGGGCGUAAAGCGCGCGCCCGUGGUUUCUUUAGUGUGAUUUGAAAGUCCCCGGGUCCCCCCUGG